rnacentral:rRNA from 1 species
AGCGGAAGAUGGGAGCUUGCUCCCUGAUGUUAGCGGCGGACGGGUGAGUAACACGUGGGUAACCUGCCUGUAAGACUGGGAUAACUCCGGGAAACCGGGGCUAAUACCGGAUGCUUGUUUGAACCGCAUGGUUCAAACAUAAAAGGUGGCUUCGGCUACCACUUACAGAUGGACCCGCGGCGCAUUAGCUAGUUGGUGAGGUAAUGGCUCACCAAGGCAACGAUGCGUAGCCGACCUGAGAGGGUGAUCGGCCACACUGGGACUGAGACACGGCCCAGACUCCUACGGGAGGCAGCAGUAGGGAAUCUUCCGCAAUGGACGAAAGUCUGACGGAGCAACGCCGCGUGAGUGAUGAAGGUUUUCGGAUCGUAAAGCUCUGUUGUUAGGGAAGAACAAGUACCGUUCGAAUAGGGCGGUACCUUGACGGUACCUAACCAGAAAGCCACGGCUAACUACGUGCCAGCAGCCGCGGUAAUACGUAGGUGGCAAGCGUUG